GACAGAGGGUGUAAACGUUGCUCGGAAUCACUGGGCGUAAAGGGCGUGUAGGCGGGAAGGAAAGUCAGAUGUGAAAUCCCUGGGCUCAACCCAGGAACUGCAUUUGAAACUCCCUUUCUUGAGUGUCGGAGAGGAAAGUGGAAUUCCUGGUGUAGAGGUGAAAUUCGUAGAUAUCAGGAGGAACACCGGUGGCGAAGGCGGCAUCCUGGACUGUAACUGACACUGAGGAACGAAAGCCAGGGAGGCAAACGGG
rnacentral:rRNA from 1 species